CUUUGUUCUAUAUUCUUAGUACUCGGGUUGAUAAAGACCUUUGCUUGGGGCGCCUUUGUCAUCGGGGGUAUUAUGAAAUAUAGCUCAAAG
rnacentral:pre_miRNA from 1 species